GCCAGCGGAGCCCACCCGCGGUGCACCUCCGGGAGCUGGGCGCCUUGGCCCGCCGGUGUGCUACCCGAGAGCCCUCCCCGCUGUCCCACCCCGCCCGCCCUUGGCGGGCCGCCGCCUGCUGUUCGCGGCGCGAGCGCGCUGAUUGGCUUGGUCUGUAGCUAGGGAGCCGAGCAAUCAGCCCCUGCGGGGACCCAGCGUGGGCGAGCCCCGGGCCGCCAGAGUGACUGGAUUGUCCUACCCAGGCGGAUUAGAACGUUCUCUCCCUCCUUACCAUUUCACGCACUUCAACCCCGAGGCGUCACCCGGUUCGACUUCCGACGGGUGGCACAGGGCCGACCAGAGCCCCCUGCGAUCUGCCCGUUUUUAACGCCCAGCUAGGCCCCACUGAAUGCCAUCACAGUUAAAGCAGGCUACAUCUAGCCCGGAGCGCUGUAAAUGAUGAAGGGGACCAAAUGCCUGUAAAUCCCAGGGCUCUUUCUGAGCUCAGCGUGGGUACUGGGCGAGGGGUGGGGGGGAUGAGGAGUCUGAGAAGAGUAUCUAGACCGGGCUCACUAUGAGCCCCUGGAGAUCAAACCAUACAAGUAUAUCAGUACAGGGCCAGAAUCCUCUGCCCCUGAAGACCCAACGGAGAGUCAUGUGUGCCUUGAACUCCAUUCCACAGAGAGGGAAACUGAAGCCAGGUGGAACUGAAACCAUGCAGCAGUCCCAUGGAGUCCUUGAGCCAGGCUGAGGGAAAGCAGUGCAAGUUCAGGGCUACGACUUCAACCUGAGACCAAAAGGAGGACUACUUAGGGAAAGUGCUCAGAACACCACCUCCGAACACAAGAAGUCCCGGAUUUCUACCCGGCAAAACCCUACCUCUGGAAUGUUAGAAGGUUCUCCUCUCCACCUCCUACUAAGUUCCUGAGACCGACAGAGCCAGAGCCUGAGUGACACUACCUGGGGAAGCCUUGGUCUGGUUCAUCCAGUUCCGUGCCUUGGAGGUCCUGCUCUGCUCACAGCUAAAUAACACAUAUCUAAGCCGUGAAUCAGGCCUGAAACACUCGCCCACACAGCAGUGGUGAAACUGAACUUUCAACCGCCAUCCUCUGCAGGGGAGUGAGGUCAUACGAAAACAAAUUCAUUUCUGAAGACUCACUAUCUUCCUCAAACUCAUGGAGAUCUCCCAGGUGCUGGGUUCCAGGUGAGCGGCACUCCAUCCAGCAUGGUGGUUUUGUUUUUGUUUGUUUGUUUAUUUUGAGAGUCAUAUCAGCAACAUUUGUCUGUUCUAAGAAGACAAGUACCGAAUAUGUGAAGGUCAACAGCACUGGACCGGAGGCAUCUGGAGAGAUACUGUCCCCCAGGCACAGCGCUUCUGAGAGUGCCACGGAACCAUAACUGAGCAGCUUCCCCCAAUGUCUGCCUUCAGACCUGCUCUGAGGAUGUCAGUCACCCUGUCCCUCCUCUCUAACCCCAGCUUCCUGCAGCUUGGGCACCACACCCUUCUUCAUUUGACAUGCAGUCUCUGUCACCUUUUUAAUUGUUUUGGUCUCGUCUUCCUGUACACCACACUAGGAACGCUUUUUGCAGACUGCCAGAGAGAAUUCGACAGCCACACCUAGGCCGGGAAGGUGGAUUGCACCUGCAAUCCAAUGAGAGGCUGAGGCAGAAGCAUUGCUAGUUUCAAGCUGGCAUGGACUACAGAGCAGAACUGUCUCAAAAGACAAAAACCAAACCAAAGACAAAACUCCAACAACAACAGCCCUGUCCCUGGAGGUCACCCCAAUCCUGGGCUGCUAUGGCUCACUUGCUUCUGGUAGGCUUUUUCUGACCUACUCUUCAGCACUGCUGAUGCCCAGCAUUCAGAAGAGCCCCCACCCCCAUCCCCCGCCCCCUGGAAGGUACUGCAUUGAUUCAAGUGGAAAAGCCAGCUUUAGACUUGAAUCUCCAGGGCCAGUCUGAUGCUAUACUUUUUAGAAUUGGGACUGAUGAGAAAAAUGACUUAACAUUGUUGUUUAUUUAAUAAGAGACAGCACUGCCCUCCCCAUCCGAGGCUCCUUGGAAACAGUACCAGGUAAGCAAGUGAAACUGAGCACAUUAGAGUUUUCUGGAGUUAAAUUCGGAAUUAGGACAAGGUAGGGGGAAAAAAAAAAUCUAUGCUCAUUGAAUAGAAAAUGCAAUUGUCUGUCAGUGCAGGAACUGAGUGUCUGCAGCAAAUUAUAUUUAGGACUCUAUUGUCGCAGGCAGAUUAGCUAAUGCUUAGUUUUAAGUGUGGGCUUCUAAUGCUGUUACUCCUGGUUAACUCUGCCUAGUAGGUAACCUUGUGGAACAAAUGACUGCAUUGCUUGAAUAACAUAUUUGAUCAAAUAGGACAAUUCUUUCAAAAAUUGAGUUCUCUGUGGCAAUUUGAGACCUGUAAUCAGCAAAUUAGAUGAUUACAGCAGGGAUAAAAAUAGUCUUCUAACAAUGUCCAAGGUAUAAAUGUGAUUUGAAUUUUAAACCGCUGAACAUGUGGUAGGAAAAUGCACGGUUGGAUAAAUAGGACGAGACAUUAUCAGAUCUGAUUUCCCUCCUAUCCCUGCUCUGAGCUCCGACCUACUUUUGUCCGAGUAUCCUCCCGUCUUGUCUGCAGCUGAGUUAGGAGAUGGGUCAGGCACUGUGUUCACGUCUUAGAGGGUGCUCUCUCAGCACACUUAUCUGCCUCAGAAACAGUCCGCAUGACCUUAGUUAGUAUCACUCAUUUAUCCAUCCACUUGGUAUGAAAUGACUUCUGUAAGACACUAAGCUUCCCGAAUCCCAUCUGGGGAAGAUAGCAUGGGAAAGCUGUCCGUGCCAACACCUACAGACCAGUUUCAGGCAGUGCUCAGAGAAGUGACACACUCGUAAACUGAGCUGGGAGAAGACUGGUGCUGGACCAAUAAGCUGCAGUAUCCCCAUGCCAGAUGUAGUCCCAUGCUAUCUCUACUUUUGAUUCUUCUGGCCACCUCACCUCAGUGAUUCCCUGAUCACCUGGCCUCAGCUGUUCAAUAGUAGAUAGGGAAAAACAUUUCAAUCAGGUCUACAGAGCCAAGCCAGAGGCCACAUAAGCCACUAAAUUGUCACCAGAUGAUAGGGGGGACUUGUCUCACUAGUGAUUCCCUUAGUCUUAUGAUGGAGCCAUGGAAAUUACCAAUUACUAAAGGUUUUAUUCACUCAUGAAGAACUGUCUUGUUAGCACAAAUGAUGGAUUUGCUGUGGCAAUACUAGCACUUAAUGCUAGGCAUGGUGGUGCACACCUACAAUUCCAACACUGAAGAGGCUUAAACAUGAUUGAUGCCAGUGUGGGUUACACAGUGAGGAGACUCUGUAUCAAACAAAUCACACACAUUACUGGCAUGUGUGUGUGUAUAGUCUUACAAUACAGCCCAGGCUACCCUUGGACUCUUCUGUCUCAGCAUUCUGAGUGCUAGGAUUAGAUGUGGGUCCCCAUGCCUGGUAGCCACUGCUUUUUAAGAGUGUUUGUUUGGGACUUACAAAUAAUGAGUUAACUGGGUGUAGUGGCGAACGCCUUUAAUCCCAGCAUCCAGGAGGCAGAGGCAGGUGGGUCUGAGUUCAAGGCCAGCCUGGUCCUGGUCUACAAAGCAAAUCCCAAGAUAACUAGGGCUGUUACACAAACUGUCUUGAAAAACAAAAGUGUUGAGUAAUGCCAUUACUCAAAUAGAUUUGUUUAGAGUUUUUUCUGUAUGAAUGUUUUGCCUUGCAUGUAUGCCUGUGUACCACAUGUAUGCAAUACUGAAGGAAGCCAGAAAAGGCACUAGAUCUCCUGAAACGAGUUACAGAGGUUAAGAGCUUGGGAAUCAAACCUGGAAGAGCAGCCAGUGCUGUUAACCACUAAGACAUCUCUCCAGCUAGGUUUCUAAUACACUUACUAGGAAGACUUAAAGCUUCCAGAGCCAGAAAAGCAAAGUGAAAGAAUAGAAUACCUCCAACUUUGCAUAAAUACAAUAUAUAUCUAAAAUGGCUACCUUCUGUUUUAUAGAUUUCUGAAAACCAAGUUCAAAUAAGAAGUUGAAAGUAAGUGCCUUUUAGUUGCUCAGUCAUCUUGCCCCGCGUGUGCACACACACACACUGAAGCAUUGUUAAAGUGAAAUAGUACCAACAGAGGUGAUGCAAGUGUACAUACGAGGUUUCAAAUGCAGUGGCCAGCAGCGGGGCCCAGUGAUUGCAUAGCCCAUCAGGAGAUAAUCUGCAGUAAAUGUUCUGACGUUCACUUAACUAUGUCAUUCAACUCUGCGUGACACUCCCAUUCACUUGUCUUGAGACAGGGCAUUCCUAAGUGGCCUGGCCAUAGCCUAGAACUUUGGAUUUUCCCAGGAGCUGAGGCAAGGUGUGCACCAAUGUGCCCAGGUUCAUUUUCCUCUUAGAGGUAGUCUGAGGCCACUAUGUUAAAUUGUUUAAACAAAAUGUCUUAUAUCCUUCAUAUUUGGGUAAGGGUGAAGACCAUGCAUUACAGCUCUAUGACCUGUAAUACUCUGGAGAGGACAGAUGACACGAGUGAAACUCCCUGGGUGUGGAAUGCCUCCACGAGACAGCUGACAAUUACAGUGUGAACUGCUGCCUGUGUAGGGCAUUGUGGGUGAGAGCCUCAUGGAAGCCCAGGCUAUAUAGCAAGCUCUAGGCCAGCCUGGGUUGCAUUGUGAGACUGUCUCAAGAAUAA